GGACUGCAUGUGGGUCUGCUUGGCAGGAACAGAUGAGCCGUUCAGUGCCUACCAUGGAUGGAACAGUACAGCACAGAUGGGGACAGACUGCAAACUCUGCGACGCUUAAUAAAUGCCUGUACGUGCCAACUGUGGAGCCAGGCACUGGGAUCCACUGAAGGGCAGUGAGAUGGAUGGACCUUGCAGUCACAAAGCCCAGAGCGGGACAGGUAGGUGUUCAGUGAGUCACCACUUACUCUACUGACAUCAGUGAUGAGGUUUGGUGUACACUUUAGACAAUAUGGACAUCUAAAGUAGAGAGACUCACCUAGGGAAUUCUGGAACAGUUUUCUGGAGAGAGUAAUAUUGGC
rnacentral:lncRNA from 1 species